CGUGGUGUAUUUGUAUGACGUUUGAUUCGGAACCCAGAGGGCGCGGGUUGGAGUCC
rnacentral:tRNA from 1 species